rnacentral:rRNA from 1 species
UACGUAGGGGGCAAGCGUUGUCCGGAUUUAUUGGGCGUAAAGAGCGUGUAGGCGGCCGCACAGGUCCGUUGUGAAAACUGGAGGCUUAACCUUCAGACGUCGAUGGAAACCGUGCGGCUAGAGUCCGGAAGAGGAGAGUGGAAUUCCUGGUGUAGCGGUGAAAUGCGCAGAUAUCAGGAAGAACACCCGUGGCGAAGGCGGCUCUCUGGGACGGUUCUGACGCUGAGGCGCGAAAGCGUGGGGAGCAAACAGG